CCUACGGGAGGCAGCAGUGAGGAAUAUUGGUCAAUGGACGAGAGUCUGAACCAGCCAAGUAGCGUGAAGGAUGACUGCCCUAUGGGUUGUAAACUUCUUUUAUAAAGGAAUAAAACGAGGCACGUGUGCCUUUUUGUAUGUACUUUAUGAAUAAGGAUCGGCUAACUCCGUGCCAGCAGCCGCGGUAAUACGGAGGAUCCGAGCGUUAUCCGGAUUUAUUGGGUUUAAAGGGAGCGUAGAUGGGUUGUUAAGUCAGUUGUGACAGUUUGCGGCUCAACCGUAAAAUUGCAAUUGAUACUGGCAGUCUUGAGUACAGUUGAGGUAGGCGGAAUUCGUGGUGUAGCGGUGAAAUGCUUAGAUAUCACGAAGAACUCCGAUUGCGAAGGCAGCUUACUAAACUGCCACUGACAUUGCUUCUCGAAAGUGUGGGUAUCAAACAGGAUUAGAUACCCCAGUAGUC
rnacentral:rRNA from 1 species